rnacentral:lncRNA from 1 species
GAAAACAGCCCCACGUUAGGAACUUUGAAUUUUAUGGCAUUUUAUCACAGGAAUAACAUGGUCAAAUAUUCAGGGUAUUCAGGCAUAUUUAAAUUCCCAUACGAAAGCAAAUUAUAUAUCAACAUUUAAUCAUGAUGCAUUAUAUAUGUAGAUAUGGCCAAUUGAAAGUAUAAACAAUAGAGAUACGCAAACCUGUUUGCCAAUUCAAGGUUGAAGGGAUUGACCCCUUGUAGUAUCGGAAUAAGUUAGGCAGCGGGAAUUGGACGGCGAUGGCUUCGGUGCAGAUGGGCUGCCUUCAGGUUUCUUUACUCUGAAUUCUCCGGGUAGGCAGGGUUCCUAUGCCAAAGUUUCUAUCCGUCCUUCUCUGUUCUCUCUCUUUC